GAGGGGCAAGGGAGCAGAGAAACUCCUUUUGUACAUUUACAAUAAGAGUGAAAAUAAAUAUAUAAAUGUAUAUAUCGACUGUAUAUACAUUGUGCACAUGAAAUGACUUCAUUUUCAAGAAAGCGGCUCUUUCCUCAUCAUUUGCCACGUUUUGAUGUAUAGAAUAUAAACCCCCCAAUCCAUCCAGUGAGUAAUUAAAAGACACAGAAAUGCUUAGACAACAGCCAUGCACUCAAUCUGGCGAGCACAAUGAGAGGAAGAGUGUUCAAGAAAGCGGGCUCAACCAUUUGCACACAAAUGCAAGCGCAAACUAGAUAUUUGUUGUGUGAUUUGGCUUUUAGCCUAAAAUAAUAUACAGCAUUAGACAUGGUUUUCAUAAUCAGGUAAAACAGACAUCUAUUUCUCCAUCCUGUCCAUUCUUUAAAAAGGAAAAAAAAAAACCCCAAUGAGGACUAUUAGUAUAGAUGUAAUUACGGCUAACUGCAGUAUUAUCCCGGUGAUAGAAUUCAUGUGAGCCAAAUGCCAAAAAAAAUGCUCCGCAGCAUCUUUCUCAACAAUAGAGGGAAUUUGCAAAUGCACAUGAAGUUAAAUGUUAAGUCUGGCUUAUUAACAAGUAAACAAACCUCGUCGCAGGAAUAAAUAAGUUACCAUAAAACAGCCUGCUUUUUUGUGCAGGAAAAAAAGGAGGAAAAUGUCCAGCGUUAAUAUGUUAAUCAGCAACGAGAGACCUUUUAGUGGCAACGCAGAUGCAUGAUGGGAAAUUAACCGUUUGACAACGCAGAGCAUGUUCGCUGCAUGUUGCUCGAAAGCAGGCGACUAUUUGCUGUGAUGUCUGAGGAUUCGAGGACUCUGAAUCUUUUUAACCCUCCUCCUGUUGUGUUUUUAAGACUGGGAACAGCUGUAGACAAACUUUAUUUAGCCGCGUACAUGUGAACACAAAACCUAUGGGAUAUUUUUGUCUGUGCAGGCUGUACAUAAACCAGUACAGCCUAAACACAUGUCAGUUUUUACUUGUGCAGCUUCUAUUUGCUUUACACAAACAUGAAGCAUAUGUGCAGGGUGGUGGUGGGGAUUGAGAAGAAUUAUGAGAUUAUAGUAAACAGUAACUCCUCUUCAUGAAAGCUCUUUUCACCAAAGACUGUUUGGACUGGGUAGGCCAUUUAAUUAUUCAAGCCACUAUUUGAAAGCAAAGGAGCAAAUUAAAAGCAAAAUGUGGACUACUACGUAAAAAGCUUCUUGUGUGUGUGUUGCAAAUAUUGCUGCAUGCGUGUAUAUUUCAAAGCAAUGUCGUGUUUUGUUCCUGUAAAGCAAAAGCAAAAUGAUCAAAGCAUGCAUUAUAUACUUUUAAUUUGACAUUUAAUUAUAUUAAAUGUGUGUGAGGGAACAUUAGUGUGAUUAAAUCUGGGCCAAGUUUCAUUUCCAAAAGUGCCAGUUCAAAAAAAAAAAGAAAAGAAAAAAGGUCAGAGUGCGAUCAUGUGAUCAGGCGCAGGUGAUGCUUCUGACUUCCUCCACGCGCUCAGCCAAAGGAGGAUGAGGCAGUCUGCGUCUGCACUGAACGACAGCCACAAGGAUGCAGAGGUGAAGAUGCCGGUAACAAAAUAAAUAACAGCGACAGACACUGAGUGUGCUCCCGCUCCAUCAUUCAAGGCAGCGGCGGCAGCAGCAUAGCCUAUCAUUAUGAUAUUAAAGGGUCCUGUAGAUUAGAAUCACCAGGGCGGCAUCAGAGGCAGGUGUCCCCACGGCAUGCAUGAUAACAUGCUGCCAGCCCCCAGUAAACUCUCAGGUACCUGCUGAGGCAAUCCGGGGAGAGGCCAGCUUGGAUCUCCUCUGCUUUGGUCUGGUCUGUGUGGGCUCGGGUUUGGAGGGCCCCGAGCGGCAGGGUGCCUCUUCUUCUUCCACCGGCUGCCUAAACACAGACACACUGGAUGAGAACCACAGACGGCAAUGCCUUCCCCUUUUCCUCCUCGCCCCCUAACACUGCUGGCUGGGCUGCAGCCAGCUAACACAAUCACAGCUUUCACCGCAUCCAGAUAAGGCACAUCAGUGAUCACCGAGCGGAAUCGUCUGCUUUCAUGGUGCUGCCUGGUCUAGGUGAGUCAGGCAGGCAGAUUCACAGCACAGUGGUGCUACGCUGUGCACAUAAUUCCCCAUCAGUUCUGUUUGACAACACUGCUGAGAGCAGAUACAGAGGAAUUAGCGUCAUAAUAUUUGUUUUUAUGCGUCUUAGAGCGUGAUGACAUGAAACAAUAUUUUUUUUAAUCAGCAAUUCUGUGGCUUGUUUUUUUUUUUUUUGAUCUCACACUCUUUUAUUUUUGCCUGAAAGGAGCCAUGUUGCAACAGAGUGUAAGUGUCACCUGGAUGUAUGAUGCAGCUCUGUUUCUUGCAGCUAUAUUUAAAUUUUUUUGUGCAUGUGUGUGUGUGUUUGUGUGAUUACUCCAUCAAAUAUUGGCUGUAAGAGAAAAUGCAUUUCCUGCCUGAUGAGGUUCACCUCCCCCUCCUACUCAUUUACCGAUAUGCAUAUAUAUAGAUAUAUAUAUGUA
ensembl:lncRNA